UACGUAGGGCGCAAGCGUUAUCCGGAAUUAUUGGGCGUAAAGAGCUCGUAGGCGGUUUGUCGCGUCUGCCGUGAAAGUCCGGGGCUCAACUCCGGAUCUGCGGUGGGUACGGGCAGACUAGAGUGAUGUAGGGGGGACUGGAAUUCCUGGUGUAGCGGUGAAAUGCGCAGAUAUCAGGAGGAACACCGAUGGCGAAGGCAGGUCUCUGGGCAUUAACUGACGCUGAGGAGCGAAAGCAUGGGGAGCGAACAGG
rnacentral:rRNA from 1 species